AGCAGUAGCCACGGGAAUACGUAGGGUGCGAGCGUUAAUCGGAAUUACUGGGCGUAAAGCGUGCGCAGGCGGUUAUAUAAGACAGAUGUGAAAUCCCCGGGCUCAACCUGGGACCUGCAUUUGUGACUGUAUAGCUAGAGUACGGUAGAGGGGGAUGGAAUUCCGCGUGUAGCAGUGAAAUGCGUAGAUAUGCGGAGGAACACCGAUGGCGAAGGCAAUCCACUGGACCUGUACUGACGCUCAUGCACGAAAGCGUGGGGAGCAAACAGGAUUAGAUACCCCUUAGUCCCUGUCUCUUAUACA
rnacentral:rRNA from 1 species